UACAGAGGUGGCAAGCGUUGUUCGGAAUUACUGGGCGUAAAGGGCGAGUAGGUGGCCAUCUAAGUCAGACGUGAAAUCCCCCGGCUUAACCUGGGAACUGCGUCUGAUACUGGACGGCUUGAGUAUGGGAGAGGAACGUAGAAUUCCAGGUGUAGCGGUGAAAUGCGUAGAUAUCUGGAGGAAUACCGGUGGCGAAGGCGGCGUUCUGGACCGAUACUGACGCUGAGGAGCGAAAGCGUGGGGAGCGAACAGG
rnacentral:rRNA from 1 species